UAGCAGAGGGUGCAAACGUUUGCUACGGGAAUCAUUGGGCGUAAAGCGCAACGUAGGCGGCCCAGACAAGUGGGGAGUGAAAGCCCUCGGCUUAAACCGAGGAAGUGCUUUCCAAAACUACUGGGCUUGAAUACUGGAGGAAGGGUCGCGGAAUUCCCGGUGUGAGAAGGUGAAAUUCGUAGAUAUCGGGAGGAACACCAGUGGCGAAGGCGGCGUCC
rnacentral:rRNA from 1 species